UGCACGCGCUAGGGGUGCCUCGACGCCUGUGCCUGUGGCCAAUGCAGCGCAGUCGAGGCUGAGAUCACACCCUUUGAACCUGACCCGGUUCGCACCGGCGUAGGAACUCGUCUUGGCCCGUCC
rnacentral:ncRNA from 2 species